rnacentral:lncRNA from 1 species
GUCAGUACAAAAGUGACAUAAUUGAUAUCUUUGCUGUCUAUGACGAAAUAUCAUUAGAAUGUGGUGCACAUUGAAUAACACUCGUAGCGUGCUGUUAAAAAGAGUGCACAACAUUUUAAGAUUAUUUCGAAUAGACACAAAAAGUAUAAGCUAUACCUGGUGAGUUUUAUAUAGACGAAGCACGCAUCAUGCGUACACAACUUUCAUUCUGGUAUAUAUGAUGGCUUUAUUUUCUUUUCAUUCUGUUAUAACUUUUUACGUGUAUACCAUGUAUACCUUUCAUUUAUAAUCCGUGGCUUUAAAGGGUUAUAAGUGUUGAAAACUUAUCAGGAAGUUCACAC